ACAGAGGCCACGCCGGGGCUGAGCAAGGACGGCCCCGGAUAGGGCGGGCUUAGAGAGGGGCACGGAGGCCGGACCCUGGCCUUGAAGGAGCCCCUGUGAGGUUGGGGCUGCACUGGGGUUGUGGCAGGGGAACAUCCGGGCCACAGAAAGCAUCACACCUGGGCUGGUGCUGGAUCUCCCCAGCACCAACCACACCUUCUCAUCGCCAGGGCCUCCUGUUCAGGCCGCUUGGACUCUCAAGCUCCGUCUGCUUUGUUCCUACUUGGCAGAACUAGGCGCCUCUCAGCACUCACUUGGAGACGUGGGCUCCGACCUCUGGUGGCCUGGUGCCUCUCCCAGCCAGCACGGGACCUGGAUGAAUGAACACACACCCUUCCUUUCCCAGGCUCUGCCGCGUCUUCUGUCAAAGGAUCUCUCUGCCCCUCAAGUCCUGGCUCCAGAGGGGAGUCGGGAGGCCUCCAGAAGAAAGCGUCUUCCUCCCGGCUCUCUGCUUGCCAUCCCCCCAGGAGGCCCACGUGGCCAGGGUGACUGCAGGAGAGCUUGUGUCCUCGCAAGUCAAGGUGGGACAGCUUCAUCCCAAAGGCCGAGUCUACAGGACUUGACGCCGCAAUCCUCCAGGGCCGCAUGGACCCAGCGCAGAGGAGAUUCACGAUGGACUGCCCUCCCUCCCCUGCCCAUUCUCCACUAAACUAAGGAGCCCCGUUUUCCCUGUUUUGCUGCUUUCCCAGGGAGGGGCUGAGCUGGCCAAGGGAUGAAACGCCCAGCAAGGAGGUCCGACCCAGGCUCUCCGAGCCUUCACAUUGGGACAACUUCCCACUGGGACAACUUUCUGGAAAGGACAGGCAGACAGAAGGGUAGACAGGACGUCGGAGGCUGUGCCAUCAGCAGCCUUGCUGGAACACCCUGCUCCUAGGGGCCCCAAGACAGCCUGCAUGUACGGCCCAGGGGGUUACCUUUUC